rnacentral:lncRNA from 1 species
UUUGUUCACUCAAAAUGGAUACUGAUCCUAAUAUGAUAAUUACAAAAUAUGGAGUGAAAGAGAUCUUUAAAGAAGAGCUUAAAACUUGUGUCACAAAGACAAGUAGAUUGAUUGUUGUAAAUUGAACUCUUGCUCUUCAAUGUUUCCAAAGCCUUCCUUUUAUAGUUGAACCUUGAGUCUUCAGUUUCUUGGUCCCAAAGGAAGUUCUCCAACGGCUAGUUGAUUCAAAAUAGACAGCUCAUGCUGAAUUGUUGAGUGGAUAAGCUCAAACUGAUCUU